AGCGAACGCUGGCGGCAGGCCUAACACAUGCAAGUCGAACGAAGUCUACGGACUUAGUGGCGGACGGGUGAGCAACACGUGGGAACGUGCCUAUAGGUUCUGAACAACUCGGGGAAACCUGUGCUAAUACCGAAUGUGCCCCUCGGGGCACAGAUCUAUCGCUUUAAGAGCGGCCCGCGUCGGAUUAGCAAGUUGGUGAGGUAAAGGCUCACCAAGGCGACGAUCAGUAGCUGGUCUGAGAGGAUGACCUGCCACACUGGGACUGAGACACGGCCCAAACUCCGACGGGAGGCAGCAGUGGGGAAUCUUGCGAAAUGGGCGAAAGCCUGACGCAGCCAUGCCGCGUGGAUGAUGAAGGUCUUAGGAUUGUAAAAUCCUUUCACCCGUGAAGAUAAUGACUGUAGCCGGAGAAGAAGCCCCGGCUAACUUCGUGCCAGCCGCCGCAGUAAAAC
rnacentral:rRNA from 1 species